GUUCAUGUGAUGAUGAUUUACACGGAUUCCCCUUGAAGAUAUCAUAGAUUGUGCAAAUCUGAGUUUCUGAUGCU
rfam:Glycine soja cultivar W05 scaffold1271_27, whole genome shotgun sequence.